GCUAUACAUGCAAGUCGAACGAACGGAGGAAGAGCUUGCUCUUCCAAAGUUAGUGGCGGACGGGUGAGUAACACGUGGGCAACCUGCCUGUAAGUUGGGGAUAACUCCGGGAAACCGGGGCUAAUACCGAAUGAUAAAGUGUGGCGCAUGCCACGCUUUUGAAAGAUGGUUUCGGCUAUCGCUUACAGAUGGGCCCGCGGUGCAUUAGCUAGUUGGUAGGGUAAUGGCCUACCAAGGCAACGAUGCAUAGCCGACCUGAGAGGGUGAUCGGCCACACUGGGACUGAGACACGGCCCAGACUCCUACGGGAGGCAGCAGUAGGGAAUCUUCCGCAAUGGACGAAAGUCUGACGGAGCAACGCCGCGUGUAUGAAGAAGGUUUUCGGAUCGUAAAGUACUGUUGUUAGAGAAGAACAAGGAUAAGAGUAACUGCUUGUCCCUUGACGGUAUCUAACCAGAAAGCCACGGCUAACUACGUGCCAGCAGCCGCGGUAAUACGUAGGUGGCAAGCGUUGUCCGGAUUUAUUGGGCGUAAAGCGCGCGCAGGCGGUCUUUUAAGUCUGAUGUGAAAGCCCCCGGCUUAACCGGGGAGGGUCAUUGGAACUGGAAGACUGGAGUGCAGAGAGGAGAGUGGAUUCCACGUGUAGCGUG
rnacentral:rRNA from 1 species